rnacentral:tRNA from 1 species
GCCUGGGUGGCUCAGUCGGUUGAGCAUCUGACUUCGGCUCAGGUCAUGAUCUCACAGCCCCUGGGUUCAAGCCCCGCGUCGGGCU